AUUGAACGCUGGCGGCAGGCUUAACACAUGCAAGUCGAGCGAGUGGCGGACGGGUGAGUAAUGUCUGGGAAACUGCCUGAUGGAGGGGGAUAACUACUGGAAACGGUAGCUAAUACCGCAUACCAUCAGAUGUGCCCAGAGGGGCUUAGCUUGUAGGUGGGGUAACGGCUCACCAAGGCGACGCUCCCUAGCUGGUCUGAGAGGAGGACCAGCCACACUGGAACUGAGACACGGUCCAGACGCCGACGGGAGGCAGCAGUGGGGAAUAUUGCACAAUGGGCGCAAGCCUGAUGCAGCCAUGCCGCGUGUGUGAAGAAGGCCUUCGGGUUGUAAAGAACUUUCAGCGAGGAGGCGUUACUCGCAGAAGAAGCACCGGCUAACUCCGUGCCAGCAGCCGCGGUAAUUC
rnacentral:rRNA from 1 species